CUAAGAGGCCAAACGUGUAACAGUCUCUCUCCCAUACUCUUUCUCUCCCUUUAUGAACUCUUUCUAUUCCAGACAUCUUCUCAACACAACAAUUUUCAUCCGACAACCAGGUUUACUAAUGGUCUUUUUUCUCUUUUUGUUAUGUAGAAUCAAAUAUUUGCAGGAAUACUAAUGGUCUUUUUCUUAAGUUGUUGAAUCUGAUCCAUUGAUGUCUGAUAACCGCUCAAACAAAAAAAUGGAAGAAAAGAUGUGUGACUUUGACUGUAAUUUGUUUCUUUUCUAAGAAAGAUAUGGUAUUUAGCAAAGAGUCUGUCAAAAAUAAUGAAAGUUAGAUAAAGAAGAAGAAAGAGUCUGUCAAAGAGGAGAGAGAGGAGUAAUUGUAUUUAGCAAAAAAUUAAAAUUCAUUUGCAUAGAUAUGAAUGUAAAGAGAAAAGAAAAGGAAGAAAUAUAGCAAGAGUGAUUGUGUCCUUCAAGACAAAAAAAUAAAAAUAAAGAGAGUUAUCAGUGGAUGAAGAGAAGAUGAUGAGUGUGGCGGCUAGGAAGAACUUCCCUGUUAGAGCAUCUCCAAUGGUUGAGGAAUGCUAUCAAGUAAUGGCCAAUUGAAAAAUCAAACAGGUAAAUUAUAAAAUAAAGGUACUACAUCAUUAUUACCUCCUUUUAAGAUGUAACAUUUAUCAAUAGCUUUGAUCAUUUAAACAAUAUUUAGCUGCUUUAGGUUAUAGAUAACAUGCUAUUAUCGAGACAAUUAAAUAACAUGCUUAAUAUUGGGAACUGGAUUUAUGGUUAACAACUCUUCUUUCCUGCUACAGAUUAGAAAUCUAAGUUGACACGACUAUGGAUGUUUGCAGUUUAUCAUUUGUAUUGUCAAAUCAACAUUAAAUGCAGUUUGUUUGGACAACCAUUUAUCCAUGUUGGACAGUCCUUUAUGAAGGAAUAUAAUAAAGCUAUUGCAAUGGUACAGUGACUUUUACAAUUUUCACUUUAUCAUAUUGAAUAAUACUAAAUAAUUAUUCAAACAAUUAACUUUUUAUUCC